AACGAACGCUGGCGGCAGGCUUAACACAUGCAAGUCGAACGCCCCGCAAGGGGAGUGGCAGACGGGUGAGUAACGCGUGGGAAUCUACCCAGAUCUACGGAACAACAGUUGGAAACGACUGCUAAUACCGUAUACGCCCUACGGGGGAAAGAUUUAUCGGAUUUGGAUGGGCCCGCGGUGGUUUAGCUAGUUGGUGGGGUAAUGGGCUACCAAGGCGAGGUUCCAUAGCUGGUCUGAGAGGAUGAUCAGCCACACUGGGACUGAGACACGGCCCAGACUCCUCCGGGAGGCAGCAGUGGGGAAUAUUGGACACUGGGCGCAAGCCUGUUCCAGCCAUGCCGCGUGAGUGAUGAAAGCCUUAGGGUUGUAAAGCUCUUUCACCGAUGAAGAUAAUGACGGUAGUCGGAGAAGAAGCCCCGGCUAACUUCGUGCCAGCCGCCGCCGUAACAC
rnacentral:rRNA from 1 species